rnacentral:lncRNA from 1 species
UAUUAAGCUAUUUGAUUUAAUAGAGUUAAUUUUUAAUAAAUUAUAAGAUGUACAGUUUAAUAGCAUUAAAAAUUUAACCCUAUUGAACAGCAAAGCUUAAUAGUGCGUUCGCAUGAGGAAAAAAAUGAGGGUCCCCCCCAAACACAUACAAUUCUUCUUUAGUGUAAGCUCCCUCAUUUUUUUCACACGGACAUAUUGUUAAACUGGACCGUUUAAUAAAGUCAAUAAAUAACACUAUUAAAAUAACACUAUUGAACCGCACAAUUUUAUAGUGCAUAAGAAUUUGAUGUUUAUUGGUUGAGAUUUUUCAUUCCUAUCCAAACUUUAAUAAAUACAUUUAAAAAAAAAAAGGAUCAAGAUUUCAUGCAUGUUAUACAUAUGAUUGUUCUAUCGUAACUAUGCAUAUGAUAUGUUUUCUAUAAAUUUGUAUCACGAAAAGUUAUCUCAAUAAAGGUAUUUGUUUAGCGUAAUAAUUAUGGUGUACCUAAAUGAGAUGGAAUUCUCAUAUUUCAACAUGAGCAAGAAUUAAGUAACAUUACAGAAUCAACUUAUCGAAAUAUAUUUCAUUUCACAAGAUCAGCUUCGACCCAUGCAAGUUGAUGCCACCAUGAAUGUGUUCAAUUUGUUGUAUUCGAACUAAAACAAAUAUUUUUGACCUGCUAGCACAAAUGUGAUUCCAAUAUAUCCUGGUCAAGCUAUAUGUAUACAGAUUCAAUCAAAUUAAUUAUAAUUAAGGUUAAAGAGAGCAAAAAAAUUCUAGACUCCGCUAAGAGUAUAUUUAAUUAACUACGAUAAUUGGGGGAUUGGCUUUGAAUUUGGGUAGUUAUCACAAAUGUCCCACGAGGUUUUGGAAAAAUUAAAAGCAGCAUGAAAAAUUGAAGAAGAUUCCUCAUUUCAUUUAUUUACAAGAAGUUAUCACAUGAAUAUAUAACAGGGCUAAUGAGCUGCAUAAGGUAAUGAAUAAAUCUAAUAUCUAAUUCAUAUAUCAAAGGGAUUGCAAAUAAAAUAAAUACAGAAAGCCAAGACAAUCUCUUGACAGAAAUCAAUUACAUAAAUUAAGGGAAAUCAACCUUGAGUCCUUGACACAGCACAACGCUAAUCAUAAUAUUCUAGCAAAGAAGAAAUAAUUGGCAUCGCGUACCAACUAAGAAGAUUAAUCAAUCUUUGUUUAACCUUUUCUGCUUAUUUUUAUUUUUUGCUGGAGUUUUGUGCUGAAAGCUGUUUUUUUUUUUUCUUUUUUUUUUAUGAAAGCGGGUUGAGAAAGACAAGUUAUAUUAUAUAUGAUACCCUAGCUAGCGAUUUACCAAAUAAUGGGUGCGUUUGGGAUUGAGGUUGGGCAGCUGUAGCUUAAAAGCUACAGCACUAAAGUGUUUGGUAAACGCUAGUUACUGUAGCUUUUAAGUUAUGUUGAUAUGAUUUUUCACUAUAAUACAAAAUUUAUUAUAUCUUUAAUAAUUUUAUCAAAAUUAUUAUUUAAAAUUUAUAUUUACUAGAUAUUAUUAACUUUUGUUUCAUAAUUACAGCUUUUUUUUCACAGCAGUUGUAGCUUAAAAGCUACAGCACCUCAAUCCCAAACGCACCCAAUAGCCAUAGUAUUUUCUUUUCUUUAAUAAUGCAGCAGCAAUAGCUUUUAGAUUACAAUAUUUCAAUGGCUCAAUUUCAAACAAAAUCUUAAUUCAAUUAAAAUUUAUGAAAAAUUUGCAACCACUUAAUAAAUAGAUGGAACAAAAAUGAAAUUUAAGAUAAAAAUUUAAGAUUUCUAGCCAUCUCGUUACUCUUAUCAUUAGUUAAUUUAUUACUCAGAGAGAUGCUUUUGACAAUAUGGCUUUAUUGUUUAUUAGGAUCCCCUAAGUUACAUUUCACGUACCUUACAUCACUGAAAAUAAACACAUCAAUAACAAUAUAGUUCAUUCAAAUUUCGAUUUUUACAGCUAAAGUAAACAGUUUAUUCUUAUUCUCAUUAUGCUUAAAGUAAACUGUUGUUUAAUUCGAAUUAGAUUCUACUUUUCUCUUUGUUGCACCCAUUUUUGCUCUCUUUUGUAGGUACACCUGCCACACCACAUACUAUUCAUGUGAGUGAAUGUAAGGUACAUGAAAUAUAAUUUAGAAUUUGUCUUAUUUAUUAUUCUAUUGUUAAUAGUAAUUGACUUUAUGAGUUGGCCAAUUUGCCGAAUUUGGUUUUGAUGCGAAGUGUUGGCAUUUAUAAGACACCACACACUAUUCAUGUGAGUGGAUAUAAGGUACAUGAAAUGUAAUUUAGAGUUUGCUUUAUUUAUUAUAUAUUCUAUUGUUGAUCAUAAUUCACUUUAUGAGUUGACCAAUUUGCCGAAGUUGGUUUUGAUGUGAAGUGUUGGAAUUGAUAUGACAUAGGAUGUAAAUCAAGAGAAUCAUUGAAAAAAAGUAAGAACCACAAUAACUUAAUCAAGAGACUCACUAUGGUUCACAGAAGAUAGGACUGGGAGUAUUCAAGUUCCAAUCCAAACCAAUCGAUCCAAUUUAAACUAAUCUAAUUGUUGUUGGAUUGAUCUUUUAAUUAGAUUGAAUUGGAUUACAAAAUAAAAAAUCUAAUGUUAUCGUAUUGGUUUGGAUCUAUGCAUUAAAAUCGAACAUAAAUCAAUCCAACCAAUUAAUUUUUAUUUAUUUAUUUAUUUAUUAAAAAAGCUACAUGUCACUUUUAUAUUUAACUUUAAAAAAAUUAAUUUUUCUUAUAAAAAAUAAAACAUGGUUUUGUACAACUAUAAAUAAAUAAUAAUAAUAUAGAGUACAAACUGCAAGCCACAAUAAGUGUUUACUUUUAAUAUUCAAAUUUCAAUUUUUUUUUUCACCCAUAUAGUAAUAAAACACAUGAAUCAUGAAAUAUUAAAGGAGUUUAUAUAUAUAUAUUUUUUCAAUUGUCAGUAAUUAGAACUCUAGAAAGCAAUUG